rnacentral:rRNA from 1 species
UGCGCAGGUGGGUUGGCAAGUUUGAUGUGAAAGCCCCGGGCUUAACCCGGGAACGGCAUUGAAUACUGCUGAUCUGGAGGGUUGGAGGGGGGACUGGAAUUCUUGGUGUAGCAGUGAAAUGCGUAGAUAUCAAGAGGAACACCAGUGGCGAAGGCGAGUCCCUGGACAAUACCUGACACUGAGGCACGAAAGGCGGGGGAGCAAACA